AUCCUGGCUCAGAACGAACGCUGGCGGCAGGCUUAACACAUGCAAGUCGAGCGCCCCGCAAGGGGAGCGGCAGACGGGUGAGUAACGCGUGGGAACGUACCCUUUACUACGGAAUAACGCAGGGAAACUUGUGCUAAUACCGUAUGUGCCCUUCGGGGGAAAGAUUUAUCGGUAAGGGAUCGGCCCGCGUUGGAUUAGCUAGUUGGUGGGGUAAAGGCCUACCAAGGCGACGAUCCAUAGCUGGUCUGAGAGGAUGAUCAGCCACAUUGGGACUGAGACACGGCCCGAACUCCUACGGGAGGCAGCAGUGGGGAAUAUUGGACAAUGGGCGCAAGCCUGAUCCAGCCAUGCCGCGUGAGUGAUGAAGGCCCUAGGGUUGUAAAGCUCUUUCACCGGAGAAGAUAAUGACGGUAUCCGGAGAAGAAGCCCCG
rnacentral:rRNA from 1 species